UACGUAGGGAGCAAGCGUUGUUCGGAUUUACUGGGCGUAAAGGGCGCGUAGGCGGCAAUUCAAGUCACUUGUGAAAUCUCCGGGCUUAACUCGGAACGGUCAAGUGAUACUGCUUUGCUAGAGUGCGGAAGGGGCAAUCGGAAUUCUCGGUGUAGCGGUGAAAUGCGUAGAUAUCGAGAGGAACACCUGAGGUGAAGACGGGUUGCUGGGCCGACACUGACGCUGAGGCGCGAAAGCUAGGGUAGCAAGCGGG
rnacentral:rRNA from 1 species